ACGAAAACUGCAUCUUAAACUUUCCAGUCCGUUCGAAAAGACAAGCUGAUGAAGAAAUAAAGCCUGAUGCAACGAACUAUGGAACUAGUAUUAAAAAUGAAAUGGGCCGGAAUCCGUACCCUUUCAUGGUGACGUUGCUGAAAUACGACGAAACGUCACGGCGAUACAAGUUGGCCUGCGGUGGAUCGUUGAUUAGCGCCACUAAAAUCCUGACCGCUGCCCAUUGCGUCAUCCACGA